GGUGUAUGGACAAAUGCGAUCAUGACAGGUGCUGGGUCUUCAGCUAGAGCUUUUAUGACUGGUGACUCCUUGGAUUUACAACGUUUUGAAGCACACACCCCAUUGUUAAUGCACAUUUUGGUGGGACUUAUGCCAGCUAUAUUAUCAAGAGCUUUUUCCAGUUUCAAAGCUAUCUGUCUCAGCUAAAGACACUUGUGUUGGACUUAAAGUUUCUGAAGUUAACCUGCUUUCCCAAAUUGCCCAAAUCAAGGAAUCUCAAGCAAUUGGAAUUGGUACUGAAUCACCGUGUGUUUUGCCUCCUCCUUUGCACAAUCCUACUACGUGCAUCUCCUUCAUGAAAUAGAUUUAAAGUUAAGGUGAAUAUUCUUACUUCUGAGAGCUUUAAUUGUGGAUUUUAUGAUAUUGUUUAUUUUUGGGUAAAUUUCACUUUUACCACCCUAGAUUAUUAUUGAUUUUGCAAUCUUCCCCUAAGAUAAUGAUUUGUGCAUUUCACACCCCAAUUUAAAGAAAAAAA